rnacentral:rRNA from 1 species
UUAACUGUCCGUAUGCUAGGGAUACUGCUAUGCUAGAGGGCGGGAGAGGUCUGAGGUACUACAGGGGUAGGGCUGAAAUCUUAUAAUCCUUGUAGGACCACCAGUGGCGAAAGCGUCAGACUGGAACGCGCCUGACGGUGAGGGACGAAAGCCAGGGGAGCGAACCGGAUUAGAUACCCGGGUAGUCCUGGCCGUAAACGAUGCAUACUAGGCAAUGGUGCGGCUAUGAGCCGCAUCAGUACCGUAGGGAAACCGUUAAGUGUGCCGCCUGGGAAGUACGGUCGCAAGGCUAAAACUUAAAGGAAUUGGCGGGGGAGCACCACAAGGGGUGAAGCCUGCGGUUCAAUUGGACUCAACGCCGGGAAACUUACCAGGGGAGACAGCAGAAUGACAGUCAGGUUGACGACCUUACUCGACGAGCUGAGAGGAGGUGCAUGGCCGUCGCCAGUUCGUGCUGUGAGGUAUCCUGUUAAGUCAGGCAACGAACGAGAUCCGCGCCUUUAUUUGCCAUCAAGAAGUCACGACUUCGUUGGGAACACUAAAGGGACCGCCGUCGAUAAGACGGAGGAAGGAGCGGGCAAAGGCAGGUCAGUAUGCCCCGAAACCCCUGGGCUACACGCGGGUUGCAAUGGUGCGAACAAUGGGCUGUAACUCCGAAAGGAGAAACCAAUCCCGAAAUCGCAUCUCAGUGGGGAUUGUCGACUGUAACUCGUUGACAUGAACGUGGAAUCCCUAGUAAUCGCGUGUCACCAUCGCGCGGUGAUACGUCUCUGCUC